GUGAAUUCUCAACUAAGAUGUCAUUGUAAGAGUUUGAUUAAAUAUUUGGUUUAAACUUUUGUUUUCAAUUUUUUUUUUGUUUAUAUGUAUUUUUCAAAUCUUCAUUUUUUAUUUUUAUAUUUCUAAAUGUAAUACAUAUGUAUAAUAAUAUUUUAUGGUUAUAAGAAAAUUAUUUUAUUGAUGGGAUUCAAAAAUAUUGAAUUCUGACCAUUACACAAUAAGAAAAUCAAGCUAAAGAAACCAUCUCGUUCUUUUACUUUGGAUGUUUGUUUC
rnacentral:lncRNA from 1 species